rnacentral:rRNA from 1 species
AGUUUGAUCAUGGCUCAGAUUGAACGCUGGCGGCAGGCCUAACACAUGCAAGUCGAACGGUAACAGGAAGCAGCUUGCUGCUUUGCUGACGAGUGGCGGACGGGUGAGUAAUGUCUGGGAAACUGCCCGAUGGAGGGGGAUAACUACUGGAAACGGUAGCUAAUACCGCAUAACGUCGCAAGACCAAAGAGGGGGACCUUCGGGCCUCUUG